rnacentral:tRNA from 1 species
GGGCCGGUAGCUCAGUGGUAGAGCAACUGACUUUUAAUCAGUAGGUCGCGGGUUCGAACCCCGCCCGGCUCACCA